UCAGGACGAACGCUGGCGGCGUGCCUAAUACAUGCAAGUCGAACGAACUCUGGUAUUGAUUGGUGCUUGCAUCAUGAUUUACAUUUGAGUGAGUGGCGAACUGGUGAGUAACACGUGGGAAACCUGCCCAGAAGCGGGGGAUAACACCUGGAAACAGAUGCUAAUACCGCAUAACAACUUGGACCGCAUGGUCCGAGCUUGAAAGAUGGCUUCGGCUAUCACUUUUGGAUGGUCCCGCGGCGUAUUAGCUAGAUGGUGGGGUAACGGCUCACCAUGGCAAUGAUACGUAGCCGACCUGAGAGGGUAAUCGGCCACAUUGGGACUGAGACACGGCCCAAACUCCUACGGGAGGCAGCAGUAGGGAAUCUUCCACAAUGGACGAAAGUCUGAUGGAGCAACGCCGCGUGAGUGAAGAAGGGUUUCGGCUCGUAAAACUCUGUUGUUAAAGAAGAACAUAUCUGAGAGUAACUGUUCAGGUAUUGACGGUAUUUAACCAGAAAGCCACGGCUAACUACGUGCCAGCAGCCGCGGUAAUACGUAGGUGGCAAGCGUUGUCCGGAUUUAUUGGGCGUAAAGCGAGCGCAGGCGGUUUUUUAAGUCUGAUGUGAAAGCCUUCGGCUCAACCGAAGAAGUGCAUCGGAAACUGGGAAACUUGAGUGCAGAAGAGGACAGUGGAACUCCAUGUGUAGCGGUGAAAUGCGUAGAUAUAUGGAAGAACACCAGUGGCGAAGGCGGCUGUCUGGUCUGUAACUGACGCUGAGGCUCGAAAG
rnacentral:rRNA from 1 species